rnacentral:rRNA from 1 species
GACGAGCCACACGAACGUUAUUCGGAAUUACUGGGCUUAAAGGGUGCGUAGGCUGCGCGGAAAGUUGGGUGUGAAAUCCCUCGGCUCAACCGAGGAACUGCGCCCAAAACUGCCGUGCUCGAGGAAGAUAGAGGUAAGCGGAACUUACGGUGGAGCGGUGAAAUGCGUUGAUAUCGUAAGGAACACCUGUGGCGAAAGCGGCUUACUGGGUCUUUUCUGACGCUGAUGCACGAAAGCUAGGGGAGCGAACGGG